rnacentral:misc_RNA from 1 species
CCGAGUGAGGGCCCCGUGCCCGACCUCCAACCCUUUUGAAGUCAACCAACUCUGUUGCCUCGGGGGUGACCCGGUCGUCGCGCCGGCGCCCCCGGAGGACCACACACCCUGCGUUUUGUGCGUCGGAGUUUUAAGCGAAAUCUUAAUCA